rnacentral:rRNA from 1 species
UUUAAUGAGAGUUUGAUCCUGGCUCAGGACGAACGCUGGCGGCGUGCCUAAUACAUGCAAGUAGAACGCUGAGGUUUGGUGUUUACACUAGACUGAUGAGUUGCGAACGGGUGAGUAACGCGUAGGUAACCUGCCUCAUAGCGGGGGAUAACUAUUGGAAACGAUAGCUAAUACCGCAUAAGAGUAAUUAACACAUGUUAGUUAUUUAAAAGGAGCAAUUGCUUCACUGUGAGAUGGACCUGCGUUGUAUUAGCUAGUUGGUGAGGUAAAGGCUCACCAAGGCGACGAUACAUAGCCGACCUGAGAGGGUGAUCGGCCACACU